rnacentral:rRNA from 1 species
ACUUGCCAGUUGCUAACAGGAGAGGCUGAGCACUCUGGCGAGACUGCCGCCGACAAGGCGGAGGAAGUGGGGAGUGACGUCAAGUCAUCAUGGCCUUUAUGCCCAGGGCUACACACGUGCUACAAUGGCCGGCACAGACGGCAGCUUAGUGGCGACACUUGGCAAAUCCUCUAAAGCCGGUCCCAAGUUCGGAUUGCAGUCUGCAACUCGACUGCAUGAAGCCGGAAUCGCUAGUAAUCGCAGAUCAGCCAAGCUGCGGUGAAUACGUUCCCGGGCCCUU